rnacentral:rRNA from 1 species
AGUGAACGCUGGCGGUAGGCCUAACACAUGCAAGUCGAACGGCAGCACAGUAAGAGCUUGCUAUUACGGGUGGCGAGUGGCGGACGGGUGAGGAAUACAUCGGAAUCUACUUUUUAGUUGGGGAUAACGUAGGGUAACAUACGCUAAUACCGCAUACGAACUACGGGUGAACGCAGGGGAUCUUCGGACUUUGCGCGAUUGAAUGAGCCGAUGUCGGAUUAGCUAGUUGGCGGGGUAAAGGCGCACCAAGGCGACGAUCCGUAGCUGGUCUGAGAGGAUGAUCAGCCACACUGGAACUGAGACACGGUCCAGACUCCUACGGGAGGCAGCAGUGGGGAAUAUUGGACAAUGGGCGCAAGCCUGAUCCAGCCAUGCCGCGUGGGUGAAGAAGGCCUUCGGGUUGUAAAGUCCUUUUGUUGGGAAAGAAAAGCAGCAGGUUAAUACCCCGCUGUUCUGACGGUACCCAAAGAAUAAGCACCGGCUAACUUCGUG